GAUGAACGCUAGCGGCAGGCUUAACACAUGCAAGUCGAGGGGUAUUUGCUUUCGGGCAUAGAGACCGGCGCACGGGUGCGUAACGCGUAUGCAAUCUGCCUUUCACAGAGGGAUAGCCCAGAGAAAUUUGGAUUAAUACCUCAUAGCAUAGCACAAUCGCAUGAUUGAGCUAUUAAAGUCACAACGGUGAAAGAUGAGCAUGCGUCCCAUUAGCUAGUUGGUAAGGUAACGGCUUACCAAGGCUAAGAUGGGUAGGGGUCCUGAGAGGGAGAUCCCCCACACUGGUACUGAGACACGGACCAGACUCCUACGGGAGGCAGCAGUGAGGAAUAUUGGUCAAUGGGCGCAAGCCUGAACCAGCCACGCCGCGUGCAGGAUGACGGUCCUAUGGAUUGUAAACUGCUUUUGUACGGGAAGAAACACUCCUACGUGUAGGAGCUUGACGGUACCGUAAGAAUAAGGAUCGGCUAACUCCGUGCCAGCCGCCGCAGUAAGAC
rnacentral:rRNA from 1 species